rnacentral:lncRNA from 1 species
AUUUUGUUCUACAUAUUUUUAGAUAUAUUUUUUUUCCCCGGUUUUGCUAAGCAUCAUUAGUGUUUAGGAUUGAACUUUGGCUGGGUUUGAAAUUUGAAUACUGUGAAAAUCUAUUGAUAGAUGCUAUGGAAGUGUAUAAACAGUUUAAAUUAUAAAUAGUUAGAAAUGAGUGUUCAACAGUAGCCAAACAUGGGCUUAGGCGAUAACAUACUCUGUGCUGCUAAUUUUGAAAUAGGAGAUGAUCCUUGUCAUUGUGAAUUCGGAGAAGCGAGUGACAAAGGGGACGAUUCUGUGGGAGUUGAAGAUGAAGGAGAUGAUGAAGAUAUUAGUGAUUUGGAAAAUGAUGACCCUACUGAUAUUGAUAUAGAAAGAGUGCGACGAGGUAUUGCCAAUUUCAUAUGUUUCCAGGAUGUGCCGCCGAAUCUUGUAAAAAAUGAUGAUUUCAAAAACUUGAUGACUGAGUACUUUCCUUCCUUGACCUUGGAUUCCGAGACGACCAAAAAUGAUUGCUUGAAGGUUUUUGAGGAAGCGAAAUCAAUAACUAAAUGUACUUUGAAUCAUAUGGGUCGAAUGAUUCCUCUUUCAGUUGACGUGUUAACGUACUUAAAUAGACGUGGUUCCCGUUAUGACUACAUGUCUUUGGCAGCACACUUCGUUGACGAUACUUGGAAGUUGAGGAAAUGGAUUCUUUAUUUUCGGAGGCUUGAUUUUUUUGAUGCAGCAAUCUUGAAAUCUAUAGACGACUGGAGCCUCGAGAAUAAAGUAUAUACUCUGACGUCAGGAAAUAUUAAUGCAUUUGCAAGGGAUGAAAUUAUUGAGUCCAUCAAAUCUCAGUUCAAAGAGAAGAACAGACUGCCAAUCGAUUCUCGUCUUUUUUCUGUGAGUUGCUGUGCUGAAAUGUUUUGUUUGAUGGCGCAAGAUGCAUUCGAAGAGAUAUGUAUCAUCAUCGGCAAACUCAAAGAGCUACAUUUGUCAAGGUCUGAAUCUAUGUGGCAUACGACAAAUUGGAAACUGAAAAUUAUGUUAGAUAUGGAAUCAAUGGGAGAAUUUAAUUCAGAUGUGCACAAGAAUUUUGUGCCAUCUGCAGAUGAAUGGGAGAAAGUUCGAAUUGUCUAUAAACUUGUGGAUAACACUUACAAUGUUGCAAAGCAGGUUUUUGAAACGAAGCAUCCAACAGCUAACAAAUUUUUGUACAAUCUUGAGGAGCUUCGUGCAAAAUUAAUUCUCGAAGCCACUAGUUCAGUCUCUUUUACUUGCUGCGUGGCUAAGAAAAUGCUUCAAAGGCUUGAUAAGUACAUAAAAGAAACGUUUCUGGUAUUGGCAAUUGCGUCAGUGAUGGAUCCUCGUUGCAAAAUGCAAUACAUGGAGUAUAUUUCCACGAAAUUUGAAGACAGGGAUGGCAUCUUGGAAAGUGGUGCUGUUUUGGAGGCUAUUAAAAGCAUCUAUGCAGAUUAUGUGAGCCACGGCACGAAAAUGGAUAAUUCUGAAGGUACUUCAAAUCUUAAAACAGAAGAGGGAAAUCCAAGAAAUGAUAAAGAACAAUUUCCAAAUUUUCAGGGCGGCCAAGAAUACCAUGCAUAUGUUCAAGUCAACAAUAAGCCUAAAAAGUCUGAUCUGGAUUCGUAUUUAGAAGAGCCUGUAGUACCUUGGGAUGAAAACUUCAACGUAUUGCGAUGGUGGAAAUCUGAAGCUCCCAAGUAUCCAAACGUCUCGAAAAUGGCCCGUGACUUCUUGGCUAUACCUAUAUCAGUGGCUACUUCACACGAUGCUUACUAUUAUUUGGAAAAUAGACCGCCUGAUCUUCGUGUUAUCACUUCAGGGGCGGAGAUGAUGAAUGCCUUGAUGUGCUGUAGGAGCUGGAACACUGGUCCUAAGAUUGAUUUUGAGUUAUGGUUUCUUGCUGCUGGUGUGAACAUAUUAUAACUUGUGAUGUCUAUGAUUUUGAAUUACCAUUGUCUGGUGGAACUGUUUGGAUCUUUUUGCUAGCUUGAUCCUAUUUUGAGUUGCCAUGAAUAAUCUAAGAAAGAUGUACCAAAUGUUUUUAUUUAUUGUUCUAUCUAAUCAGGUGUAAUAUUAGACACCUACUCAUCUUAUAAUAUUGGGGAUCCAAAAUGUUUAUGUAAAUACUCUUUGCCCU